rnacentral:rRNA from 1 species
AUGCCUGUUCGAGCGUCAUUUCAACCCUCAAGCCCCAGCCGGCUUGGUGUUGGGGACCGGCCCCGGCCGCCCCCCAAAUGCAGUGGCGACCUCGCCGCAGCCUCCCCUGCGUAG